GGAUGUGAGGGCGAUCUGGCUGCGACAUCUGUCACCCCAUUGAUCGCCAGGGUUGAUUCGGCUGAUCUGGCUGGCUAGGCGGGUGUCCCCUUCCUCCCUCACCGCUCCAUGUGCGUCCCUCCCGAAGCUGCGCGCUCGGUCGAAGAGGACGACCUUCCCCGAUAGAGGAGGACCGUUCUUCGGUCAAGGGUAUACGAGUAGCUGCGCUCCCCUGCUAGAACCUCCAAACAAGCUCUCAAGUAUAAUAGAAAACUCCCACUCCAUCCCUGUCUCCUCUACUCCGUUCCCAUUCACCCCCAUCGGAAACCAUUUUAAUUGAUUUCCAGU
rnacentral:snRNA from 1 species